GGUUUCUUUACCUGCUACAGUCAUUAUCUUCACAGGCGAAAGAGCUUUACGACCCUAAGGCCUUCUUCACUCACGCGGCAUGGCUAGAUCAGGCUUGCGCCCAUUGUCUAAGAUUCCCCA
rnacentral:rRNA from 1 species